CCCGGCCCUGCUCCGCACCGCUUCGGCCGCCGGUAAAACCGGGGCCGCUGCGUUCGGCCUCAUCGGUGAAACGAAAAUCGUGGGGAAAAUCUGCAGUAGGAGCGCUCGCUCUGCCGGGACCACUCGGUGAUCCUCGCUACCGCGGGGAUAAGGAAAAUAGCCCAAGCAGUGGGAUCGCAUGGGAAAUCAGGCUGUAUUUAUUUUUAAUGCAAAUGCGCAUAAAUGAUUCUCCGGCUUUCUAAGAACCGGCUGCUCAGCUGCA